rnacentral:rRNA from 1 species
CGCGUAGGCGGAUGGUUAAGUCCGGUGUGAAAGACGGUCGCUCAACGAUUGCAGUGCCAUUGAUACUGGUAGACUUGAGUGUGAUUGAGGUAGCUGGAAUGGAUAGUGUAGCGGUGAAAUGCAUAGAUAUUAUCCAGAACACCGAUUGCGAAGGCAGGUUACUAAGUCAUAACUGACGCUGAGGCACGAAAGUGUGGGGAUCAAACAGGAUUAGAUACCCCCGUA